AGCCAAUUCCUCAAUGGAGGGCAACCAGUGCGUGAGGAGCAGGGCUUAGGAAUAAUUGGGUCACAGCUCUAAGGCUCCUUUCCUGACUGGGGUCGUUAUUUCUAGCUCUUUGCCUUCCCUACCCAUGGUAGGAUUGUACUACUGAACCUUUUGUGACUGUGUGGGACCACGUGCUGAGAGCUUUGCCAUUCACGCCCUGGGUUGUUUGGCCCUGUGUGUGUGAGCUGGUGGGACUGCUGCCUGUGUGUUGAGACAGGAGGUGGAGAGGCAGGAAGAGGGAGGAGAUGAUUUGUGAUGUAGCCCUCCUAAAGUCAGCUAGUUUGCUCCUCUGCUUGGAGUUUUCUUCAUGAUCCUUCCUGGUAGUUACUUGCGGCUUUUUGCUAUUCUGCCCUUUCCUUUAGUUCGUCUUAGUAGGUGGCCCAUUUCUGACAUUUCCCCACAGUCUCUUGGCUUGGCAGCUUCUUAACUGAAGACUCCAGCUACCCACUGCAGUGCAUGGGCAUCCAUCUGCGGGGGAGGGGCACUGAUACACCUGUUCCACCAAGAAUGCCCCAUCACAGUGCCCUUGACCCAGGCUCCUCAGGAAGCCUCUUGUCUGAGACUUCUCAUCUCUUCACCCCACACUGAGGGGCUCCUUGUCCUGCCAUUCAGUCUCAUUCGCCUCCAUGGAACUAGGAACAGCUUUGCCCUAAAUGUUUUCUGUUAGCACUUGCCAGAGGCUCCACAGAUUGUCUUUCUCCAUCACGCAGUGGCAUGACCUUGGCUAACUGCAACCUCUGCCUCCCGGGUUCAAGUGAUUCUCAUGCCUCAGUUUCCCGAGUAGCUGGGACUACAGGCACGCCACCAUGCCCGGCCAAAUUUUUUUUUUUUUUUUUUGUAUUUUUGGUAGAGAUGGGGUUUUACCAUGUUUCCCAGGGUGGUCUCAAACUCCUGGGCUCAAGUGAUCCUCCUGCCUCGGCCUUCCAUAUUCUUGAUCUCUUUUAAAUAUGCCUUUGUUAGUUGCCCAUCUGUGUUGCCCUAAGAACACCAUGUUCCUUGAGCUACCUUCAUAGAUCCCUGUAGAUCUAUGCUGCCAUUGCAUCCUUGCUGCCUGUUAUUGAAGUCACACCCAUCUUAUGUUUGAUGGUUAGAUAUUGCCAUUUGGCCUUUGCUCCUCUGGGAUACCAUUGCUUCCAUUGCUUUCAGGGAGCUGAGAUAUGAAUUGGCAUCUUCUGUUUUCCACUCUCAUUUACAAAGAACAUGCAUCUUGAGCUUUGUUGGCAUUCCCUCACCAGUGCACUCUUUCUCACCUUGGAAAAUAGACUGUUCUCCAGGAAGGACUGACCCCAUAGUGGUCAGCCAGCAGGAUUAGAUCCAUUCUAGCAUGUCUUCUUCUCUGAGCCUUUUGAUCCGUUUCUCUACAGUUUGCCACUACAAUAAUCACAUCUCGAC
rnacentral:lncRNA from 10 species